GGCGAACGGGUGAGUAAUACAUCGGAACGUGCCCAACAGUGGGGGAUAGCCCGGCGAAAGCCGGAUUAAUACCGCAUACGACCUUUGGGUGAAAGCGGGGGACCGCAAGGCCUCGCGCUGUUGGAGCGGCCGAUGUCAGAUUAGGUUGUUGGUGGGGUAACGGCCUACCAAGCCGACGAUCUGUAGCUGGUCUGAGAGGACGACCAGCCACACUGGGACUGAGACACGGCCCAGACUCCUACGGGAGGCAGCAGUGGGGAAUUUUGGACAAUGGGGGAAACCCUGAUCCAGCCAUGCCGCGUGCGGGAAGAAGGCCUUCGGGUUGUAAACCGCUUUUGUCAGGGAAGAAAUCUCCUGGGCUAAUACCCCGGGGGGAUGACGGUACCUGAAGAAUAAGCACCGGCUAACUACGUGCCAGCAGCCGCGGUAAUACGUAGGGUGCAAGCGUUAAUCGGAAUUACUGGGCGUAAAGCGUGCGCAGGCGGUUGUGCAAGACAGAUGUGAAAUCCCCGGGCUUAACCUGGGAACUGCAUUUGUGACUGCACGGCUGGAGUACGGCAGA
rnacentral:rRNA from 1 species